GAUGAACGCUGGCGGCGUGCCUAAUACAUGCAAGUCGAGCGAACGGACGAGAAGCUUGCUUCUCUGAUGUUAGCGGCGGACGGGUGAGUAACACGUGGAUAACCUACCUAUAAGACUGGGAUAACUUCGGGAAACCGGAGCUAAUACCGGAUAAUAUUUUGAACCGCAUGGUUCAAAAGUGAAAGACGGUCUUGCUGUCACUUAUAGAUGGAUCCGCGCUGCAUUAGCUAGUUGGUAAGGUAACGGCUUACCAAGGCAACGAUGCAUAGCCGACCUGAGAGGGUGAUCGGCCACACUGGAACUGAGACACGGUCCAGACUCCUACGGGAGGCAGCAGUAGGGAAUCUUCCGCAAUGGGCGAAAGCCUGACGGAGCAACGCCGCGUGAGUGAUGAAGGUCUUCGGAUCGUAAAACUCUGUUAUUAGGGAAGAACAUAUGUGUAAGUAACUGUGCACAUCUUGACGGUACCUAAUCAGAAAGCCACGGCUAACUACGUGCCAGCAGCCGCGGUAAUACGUAGGUGGCAAGCGUUAUCCGGAAUUAUUGGGCGUAAAGCGCGCGUAGGCGGUUUUUUAAGUCUGAUGUGAAAGCCCACGGCUCAACCGUGGAGGGUCAUUGGAAACUGGAAAACUUGAGUGCAGAAGAGGAAAGUGGAAUUCCAUGUGUAGCGGUGAAAUGCGCAGAGAUAUGGAGGAACACCAGUGGCGAAGGCGACUUUCUGGUCUGUAACUGACGCUGAUGUGCGAAAGCGUGGGGAUCAAACAGGAUUAGAUACCCUGGUAGUCCACGCCGUAAACGAUGAGUGCUAAGUGUUAGGGGGUUUCCGCCCCUUAGUGCUGCAGCUAACGCAUUAAGCACUCCGCCUGGGGAGUACGACCGCAAGGUUGAAACUCAAAGGAAUUGACGGGGACCCGCACAAGCGGUGGAGCAUGUGGUUUAAUUCGAAGCAACGCGAAGAACCUUACCAAAUCUUGACAUCCUUUGACAACUCUAGAGAUAGAGCCUUCCCCUUCGGGGGACAAAGUGACAGGUGGUGCAUGGUUGUCGUCAGCUCGUGUCGUGAGAUGUUGGGUUAAGUCCCGCAACGAGCGCAACCCUUAAGCUUAGUUGCCAUCAUUAAGUUGGGCACUCUAAGUUGACUGCCGGUGACAAACCGGAGGAAGGUGGGGAUGACGUCAAAUCAUCAUGCCCCUUAUAAUUUGGGCUACACACGUGCUACAAUGGACAAUACAAAGGGCAGCGAAACCGCGAGGCCAAGCAAAUCCCAUAAAGUUGUUCUCAGUUCGGAUUGUAGUCUGCAACUCGACUACAUGAAGCUGGAAUUGCUAGUAAUCGUAGAUCAGCAUGCUACGGUGAAUACGUUCCCGGGUCU
rnacentral:rRNA from 1 species